ensembl:lncRNA
AGGGGCUUUGCCCACCCCUCCUCAGCAUUCAUAGUUACUGUGUUUUCAGGUCGCCAGUGGCAAGCACCGACAACUCGGAGUGUUUUGCUUAUUUCUGACCAGCAGCAUGCACAUGGCCUCUUGUGGGGCAGGCAGAAGUGCUGGGCAGUGAACGCCUCCUCCCAGCAAAGCUGACCGACAACCAGGGGCUCCGCCCUGGUGCAUGCAUGCUGACCCUGCUGUGUGUUCUGUGCUGUCUGCCCGAGUUCCUGUUGAGCUCUCAGGAAGAACUCCACUUUCUGCUUUCCCUUGCCUGCCCGCCUGCAUUCUUUCUCCCCCGACCAGUGUCAGUCGUGUCCAGCUCUGUGCGACCCCAUGGACUGCAGCCCAGCAGGCUCCUCCAUCCAUGGGAUUCUCCAGGUUCUGCUUCUGUGGAAACCCAACCUGCAAACCACUGAAAAGAGUGGAAUACCCUCUCUAAUGAAGAGUGUAAACCCUGGCACGGAACAGUUAACAGAAUCCCAGAAGAGAACCCAGUUUCUUCCUGUUGUCUUAUACUUGGCUGAGACCUCCAGAAACGUGAUAAAUAUCGCUGAGUGGUAACUAUCCCUAUAAUUUAGCCUCUCCAUUUUCCUGCCAUGUGCCCAGUGUCCACACAGCAACCAGACAGCAUUCCUACCACGUUUUACCACCAAAAAAGAAAAAUAAACUGGUGAGCAAAGUCCUUCCUUAUAGCAACAUUAGAAUUUUUUUUAACUUUACUAAGCAGGAAAUAACAGUUGAAAGUCACAAUCUCUAAUGGGACUUCUCUUAGUGAAAAAUAAUAGCACCAUAUUGAUAGGCUAUCAGUUAUAGGAUGUAACAAAUGUGCAGGCAGAUUCCCUAGGGAGUUUCUCCAUUUAUUUGAUAUGCAGUGAGAUAUUUUAUUUUAAAAUUUUUUAGGGAAUCAUCAGACUCUAAAUCAUCAGACUGGAAAGGUCAACUGUCAAGGAUGAAAACAAAACCUACUUUCCUCUAAAAUGAAAUCUCUCACCCUGCUCCUCAUACUUUGCGACCCCAUGGACAGAGGCCCGGCUCCUCUGUUCAUGAAAUUUCCCAGGCAAGAAUGCUGGAGAGGGUUGCCAUUUUCUACUCCAGGGGCUCUUCCCAACCCAGGGAUUGAACCUGCAUCUCUUGCAUCUCCUGCAUUGGAGGCAGAUUCUUUACCACUGUACCACCUGGGGAACCCAACCUUAGAUUCCUUUAUCAAUUCCUCCGUAGUCAGCUUUAUACACUGUGGAAAGACAGGUGUGAGUCUGUUACCCAAACUCUUUCCAAGCUGAUGAAUUCGUCUGAAAAGUAGAUGAGAGUGGGACUGGGGAUAUGUAAGUGGUCAAGAUUCCUGGACUAGCUCUGGACCUCUGUUCUACAGGACGUGAGCCUCCAGCCCUUACUGUGAGUCCGAGGUCUGUGUCCGUCAGGUCGGCCUGCGUGGGAAGAAGAUGCAGCCACUGGCAAAAACACCUCUGCCAGGUAGCUGGUGGUCAGGCAGCUGCGCGUGCUCAGUGCUGCUCUGUUACUGCAGCUGCAGCGGCAGCUCUGCAGGGCUUCUGUCAGGCCUGGGCUACUUGAUGAAACCCACAGAAGUAUCUACUCCUCCCCACUCCUCUCAGCCAGUCACUCAGCCCUAUUUUUAGGAUUCCUUAGCAACUGAGCAGCCUGUUAUUCGGUAGCUAAUAUUUUGCAUUCCUGAUUCCAUUACUACUGGUAGCACCCCCUGCUUCCCCCAAAACGUAUGCCAUACUGUCCCUGCAAGUUCUCCGCCCCUCCCAACGCAAAUGUAUGUC